CCUCUUUGAUAGACGAUCAUCAAAGCUGACUGACCACUCCUAUCACACUUAUUACAGUCUACUCCUCUGUCUAAAAAUAUAUUCACUAUUUGUGUAGGACCACAUUUACAAGCCUCCAUUAAAUAUGAUCUGUCAUAUUAAUCACAUUUACUAUAGUCUGCUCCUCUGUCUAACAACAUCUUCGAUAUUUAUGUAUGACCAUGUUUACAAGCCUUCAUUACAGGAGACUAACCAUCAUUAUCACAUUUAUAACAAUCUGCUAAUCUAUCUAACACCAUCUUUACUAUUUCUGUAUAACCAUGUUCACAAGCCUUCAUUGCAGGUGACUGACCCAUCCUAUUACAUUUAUAAUAGUGUUAUCCUCUGUCUAACAACCUCUUUACCAUUUCUUUAUGACCAUGUUCACAAGCCAUCAUUACAGGUGAUUCAUCCCAACUGUCACAUUUAUGAAAGUCUACUCCUUUGUCUAACAACAUCUUUACUAUUUCUGUAUGACCAUGUUCACAAGCCAUCAUUACAGAUGAUUCAUCCCAAUUGUUACAUACCUAUUGUGAUUUUUAUUACAGUCUGCUUCUCUGUCUAACAAACAUCUCUACUAUUUCUGUAUGCCAUGUUCUCAAGCCUUAUUUCCAGGUGACUGAUCAAACAUGUUAUAUU
rnacentral:lncRNA from 1 species